GUAUAAACGAUAUCGAAAAUUAUGAUAUUGAUAAUCGAGCUUUUAAAAAUCAGGUUAAUUGAAAACUUUUCGUCAAUCACAUAGCCACAACAAUGAUCUCCAAGGAAUGUUAUUUAACGAAACUUCUCAUUACCGAGAAUCUUAAUACGUUCCUUCUAACUGGAGGAACCGUCUCAACUUAUUGGCAGAAGAGCAAGCGCAAUAAUUCGAAACGGCUCGAUCUUCUUCAAAAGCGGAACUUCGACGAUCCACCGAACUACGGUGGAACUUUUCUAGGUCAAACCCCUUCGCGUUCACAUAACCUACUUCCGUCCAGAGGUUUUCCAACCACUUAUCCGCCCUAACACGACGGUUCUUUCAACACAGAGAGGAGCGGAUAGACGGAACGAAACGAAGGAGACUGAAAAGCUGAAACGGGCAAAGUGUGUCCGUGAGAUUCAGAGAAACGCGAGUUCGCUUCGCAACUGUGGAGUUUGCAUUCUGGCACGUAUAGCAGUUUUCAAGAUGGGUAUUUGAUAGGAUGUGGACACGUAGGCUAUGUAUACGCGGCGACUCGGUAGAUUAGGAUGAUAUAAUUACAACAUUAACAUAAGUCACCGGACAGGCACGGCCGCGGAAUAGUAAUCGUGUCGAACACGUGUGCGCGUCAUCGCUGUUUCGUUUUACUGCACUUCGUUUCUAGGGACAGUGCCGCCUCGACGGGUUCACGUGCGUUUUCGUCAGUUGGAUAUCCUUCUCUUAAAUACCGAGAUAUUUAUCGCGACGAUUCGCGCAGUCGGCCACGGUCAACUUGUUUCCCGAAUUUAAUCGUUCGACCAUAAUCACCUACUAUGCAUAAUUAUUAAUCAAUUGAGCUUAACUACUUAACUUGAUAUCAAAAUUAUUGAGAACCUUUGACAACGAUUACUCGGAGUAAUUUCAGCAAAUGGAAGCAAAGAUUGAUCGGUCUUUUUCAAGUUAAUCGAAAUACUGCUAUAAAAUUUGGAAGAUAUAUCAGGGAGGUUUUGAUUAUUAUUUUUGUAUUGUUUAGUUACUCCAAAUAUACUUGUGUACACAUUACAUUUGGAUCUCGUACAUAAAAAAUUGUAAUAGUUUGGUUUCGUUUAGCAUAUUGGGAGAUCCAAUCGGUGUACAAAGAAACUUUGUCAUUUUACGAGAAGCGCAGUCGUCUUCUUUUUAUUCUCUUUCUUGUGAUCCAUAUCUUUGUUAUAUAACGUUUCUUCAGACCCUUCGGAAGGAUAUUUGUGAGCGUGAAAAUAGCGAUGCAGGUGAUCGAAUGGCAUAAUUCUAUUAACACAACAAACAUUUCAAACAAGUUCUAAAGGGAAUGGGCAUGAUAUUUCGGCCUUAAACUUGAUCCGUAAACGCGAUACGUAGCUCGAGCAGCAAAGUUGAUACAAAUUCUUUCAUUCGAUGAACGUGGAACGAAAAAUUUCCGCGAUUCACCGGCUCGUGGCCCGUUGCAAGGGCGGUCGAGCUUGUCGCGUAACAAUUUCCAAAUUGCCGUGAAAUCCGCGAUCCAAACGUUCCAGUGGAGCACAAAGAAAAAUCCGUUCCGCGGCAACAAGCAAUGAACCAGAGAAAACAGAGACGAAAGAAAAAGGUGGAAGCGAGGAAGAUAGAACGGUUGGGAAAAAAAGAGCGAGAGGGAGAGAGGAAGGAACACCAUGAAAUCAGGAACCUGACUGGGCAUACAGCGUUCGGAAAGUUGGUGAACUGAUGAAGCAGUCAGACGAUCAUAAAAGCACCUUUGAUGAACACCUGGAUUCUGACCAGUGAAUGCGCAGUACGAAUUUAGGAGACUAAAUCCAGAAGAUGGCAAGAAAAGAGAAAAAUCAGGUCCAAAAGUCAGAAUAACUGUUCAAGAAACGUGAUUCUGCUUCAAAACAAGAGCUUCGUUUCGACAAAAAGAUACGCUGCAACGACAGCGACUACGCUUGAAAACAAGAGUUUCCUUCAAGCAAAGAAUACAGAACCUUAUUAGGAAAUGGACCAAAUGCGCUUCGGAACUUCAGGGAGAUUAUGCAAGAAACUGACCCACAUUUCAAUCGCGAAAUUAACAAAUGCAAAGAUACAUAGAAUAUGUUAAAAUAUGAAAAAUAUACAAAGCAGCAAUAUGAAUCUUUGUUUAGGUGCCAUUUCUUUGAAAUUGUGUUUGUAUCUAUAAAGAUACGAUCUUUGAUACUCAUUCCAUCUUACGAUACUUUCUGUGAAGCAAGGAAGAGAAGAUCGAAAUUCGAAUGACAGCCUGAGUUUCCGAGGAAGUACAUUCGAUUAACCGCAAAAAUCACGACUAAUGAUGGCGAGUGUCAACGUAAGGGAGAUAAUGCCCAGAUACGUAUCGAGCAAGCGCUGCACGUAAUGACGAGCACGAAUGCACGUAACAUGGAUGCGCGCGAUACAACUCGGCCCGGAUAUCGUAGUGGGCGCACAUGUGCAUCGGUGAUGUUUCGAGCUAGAACGAUUUCGGAGCGUCGAAUUACGCGGCACCGGGUGCACGUGCAGUAGGCGCCUAUUGCACAAAUCACACGCAUUAUUGACUACCUUUGUAUUUCUCCGGCCGACGCGCCAUUGUCCGUGUCACGUGCGUUUCCUUCUCUAAGUACCUACCAGCACAAAUAAACCGAGAAAAUUUGCUUUUUGUACUUAAAAUCAUCUGCAAUUUCAAUUAACGUUUUAGACAGUUCUCUUCGAUGGAAUAUAAAUCCACUUACAUAUUGGACCAUCUAAACGGAAAUUAGUAUAAUGAUAGUAACAAAAAUCUCACAAAAGUAUUUGAGAUCUGUGUGUAAAAUUAAUGAACAUAGACUAUUGAAAUUAUUUCAGAAUACAAUUAAAGUACACAGCAGAGAUGUUGCAAGUUUCAAAGAAUUGGCGACCUUGUAAAGUGACUCUCAAUGGAAAUGAACAUAUAUAGCGGAAGAUUCAGGGUGGUCAGUGAAAGUGGUCCAUGUCCCCAGUGGCCUCGAAAUCUCAACUAGAAACCUCGGUACCCAAGACUGGCGCCAGACUUGUCUGCAUCUGUUUGGAAGAUGAAGUAUCUGGCUGGCUUUUCCUGCCUCCAAAUCCGUUGAGAAGUGUUCGACCUGCAAACCGGCUUCCGUUCGACCCUCCAAAGACGAACACUCGAAGGGUACUCGAUCCAUCGACAAACCUAUCGUCCGACUUGCAAGUCACACAGAGAGACAGACAGCCGGUCGUGUUUUCUUUCGAACGAGAUCCUCGGGAGAGGGAAGUUUAUUUACGCGUAUCAAGCCUCCUGCCGUCUUUACGAUCGUCCACGAUAUGCUUCGUGUUAACCGGAUCUCUGUUAAUGGUUCAACGUGUUUUCACAGAGCAAACGGAAGCCUGCUGCCGCUCUUUACCAUUUGACAUUUAGAAACUGGGAAUUAUUAGCGAUGUGCUAUCAUUGCAAACGAUCGACUGUGAAUAAAGUUGUAUCUUGAAGUCGUCUUAGGCUGAAACUUUAAGUAUUUCAUUUCAUUUUUAGUUUAUUUGAUUAUCAAUGUGCGCUGGGAAAAUAUACGGACAAUACUAAAAUUUUAAAAAAUCAUUGAUCAAAUUGAAAUUAUUUCUUUGAAGUAAUUUUGGUGAUUAUUUUCAUUCAUCUAAGCUUCUAUGUAUAUAUAACUAAUACGCGUGAAUUCAAUUCCAUUGAUCGAAAUAUGAAGGAAAAAUAAAAUUACAAUUUGGAUGUUGAAGCCACUACUUAAUUGCUAAUUAAUUACGAAUUAAAUAUUUAUUUUAAUGGUUUAAUGGAUAUUUAAUACCUUGGUAUGUAGGUAUAACUCCACCUGCCACACAGGACUUUAUCAAAGAAAUAUGUAUGUAUAUAGAAAUUACAAGCUUGUAUAAAUCGAAGUUAAGAGCUGCCCUAACCUGUCUCAAACGAGACAGGGGCUUCCACGUCGACUUAAGAAAACUACCAGCCCUUCAUGGAUGUUUCGAGUGGCUCGACUCGAUCUGUCAUGUUUACACGAGAUCGUGUAUACCCGAUACAACCCCUCACUAAACUAGAUGAUGUUUGUUUAAAGUCCCCCAGCUCUUCUGCUAGAAUAGACGUCGAUUCAUCGCAUCUAAAGGUCCUCGUAAGCCUAAGUAAAUGAAAUUACUAGUUUGGAAGUACUAGCCAUUCCAGGUUUUCGACGAUGUCAGAUAUCUUAAUUUCUCAUUUGCAUCUUUUGAUUUCACUUUAUUAGAUUGCAAAAAGGUUCGUAGAUUAGCUUUGGAUCGAUAAAAGAAAAUAUAAACUUAAGAAAAUACACGUGAGUACUGAUCGUCACAUUUACAAACCACAGUACAAAACCUUCACUCAAAAUUAAAUAUCUUGAAUUGAAAAGAAUGCUUUUUAUUCAGGAAGGAAUUACAAAUUUAAGAAAGAGACAAAAUCUCUGGUUAGGAUAUUUUACUAAAAAAAAAAAAAAGAAAUCAAAAUAGAAAUCAUCGUCGAAUAUUUCCAAAACAUCUUUCCUUUGGAGAAGCCAAAAAUCUUCGUAAUAAUUUUUUUACUACCUUAUACUUUUAUAAUUUUAAACACAUUGAAGAUGAUAUCUAAUAAUUACUAUGAAAAAUUUGAUGGUGCCUUAGUAAACUGAAUACAAUGCUGGAAAUGAUCACUGACACAUUAUAUAUAUAUAAAUUUCGAACAUUAAAACAAAGAUCGUAUACACUAUGUUAUGUUACGUAUAUAUUUUGUUAUGUUAGUGCAAUAAUAUUACUCAAGCAGUAGGAACUUGGUAUAAAUUUCAACAGCACGAUCGGUACUGAUUGCAUCCAUUCCUCUUUCCAUACGGAAUGCUAUUCAGACGACUUUCUGUAUUACUCUGGCUUCCUCGUGAAAACUUGUUAGACGUUGAUCGCCUAGCUCGUCAGAGGGUUAACCUUCUGCGAUCUAACUAUGCCUCCUAGGCGAUAGCGGUGUCAGAUAUUAUCAUUCAAAUGUAUCUUUCAGUUUCAGACUGGAUACUUGUGAAUCACUCUAUAUAAUCGAAAUACAGUGAGCUAUUAUGAGAAUGAACGAUAUUACAGUGAACUGUUUUUGUCGAUAAAAUCAGGAUCCUGAAGAAAAACAGUUUCUCCAACGAUAGCUAUCUAUUUCUUUUCAUGCAGGUUAUAUAUGUUUUUUUUACUAAAGAAGAUUUGUAAUAAAAGCUAAAUAAAUUGAUCCCAUAUUACUGUUA